rnacentral:misc_RNA from 1 species
GAUAAAAAAUCAUUUAAGAUUAAAAUCCAAAUUAGAUUCCAGAAUAGCAUGAUGAGUGGACAUGACAGGAAACUGAGAAUGUCAAAAUAAGUUUCCAAAAUCCUGAAAUUCCCAUAACAAAUAAAAUUAUCUUGACUUUUAAGUAUUUGAAAAGCAAGCUGUUGAUGAUGAUGUUAUGUAAAUUAAGAGAAAAGUUAAGUAACAACUAAUGAACUAAAGAGAUAAAGAGAUAUGGCAUGGAGAAGCUGCUACAGGGAUGUGCUGCCAUUUGCAGCCAUGGUAGCAGUACAAUGCUCUGGUGUUGGUGUAAACACUCUAUUUAAAGCCGCUGCUUUGAGGGGGAUGAGCUACUAUGCCUUUAUUGUCUACAAUAAUGCCAUUUCCACUCUUGUACUUGUCCCUUUGUCCAUCAUAUAUAGCAGGUCUAUCUCCAUAUCUCCAUUUACCUAUAUAUUCAUCAUUUCUAUGGCUGAAUUAUGGCAUUAAACUUAGCUUAUUUUCCUCUGUUUGUGUUUCUCAUAUGCAGUACAGCAGUCCUUCCUUCUACCCAGUUCCCUCUUCUCAAAAUCUGUCUCCUUGCACUUGUUGGGUAUAAUCCUAUUUAUGAACUCCUCAUGAUUUAAUAGGACUAAACAGACAGCAUCUGACAAUAUUUGAAUUUUGUGAGAGUAGGUUUGUUGCUCAAAUAUGUCGCUUUAAAGGUAUAGAGUACAGUUCUCCACUUCUUUCUUCGGCCAUGAGCAAUCUCACACCAGCAUUUACCUUCAUCCUUGCCAUCAUUUUCAGGUUUUCUUACUCUAAUAUUGAUAAUUCUUCUUCUUCUUCUUCU